rnacentral:rRNA from 1 species
CAAUAGCGUAUAUUAAAGUUGUUGCAGUUAAAAAGCUCGUAGUUGGAUUUCUGGUCGGAAGCUCCUGUCCUCCGAUGAGCGUACAAGUGCGUCCUACCAUCCUUCUGUUAACCUUUAAGGCUUUCGCGGCUUUCUAGGGGCUCAGAUAUUUUACCUUGAGAAAAUUAGAGUGUUUCAGGCAGGCUAGCGCCGGAAUACAUUAGCAUGGAAUAAUGGAAUAGGACUUUUGCCUCUUCUGUUGGUCAUGAGGCUCGAGUAAUGAUUAAUAGGGAUAGUUGGGGGCAUUAGUACUUAACUGUCAGAGGUGAAAUUCUCGGAUUUGUUAAAGACUAACUUAUGCGAAAGCAUUUGCCAAGGAUGUUUUCAUUAA